rnacentral:rRNA from 1 species
GAUGAACGCUGGCGGCGUGCCUAAUACAUGCAAGUCGAGCGAACAGACGAGGAGCUUGCUCCUCUGACGUUAGCGGCGGACGGGUGAGUAACACGUGGAUAACCUACCUAUAAGACUGGGAUAACUUCGGGAAACCGGAGCUAAUACCGGAUAAUAUAUUGAACCGCAUGAUUCAAUAGUGAAAGACGGUUUUGCUGUCACCUAUAGAUGGAUCCGCGCCGCAUUAGCUAGUUGGUAAGGUAACGGCUUACCAAGGCAACGAUGCGUAGCCGACCUGAGAGGGUGAUCGGCCACACUGGAACUGAGACACGGUCCAGACUCCUACGGGAGGCAGCAGUAGGGAAUCUUCCGCAAUGGGCGAAAGCCUGACGGAGCAACGCCGCGUGAGUGAUGAAGGUCUUCGGAUCGUAAAACUCUGUUAUUAGGGAAGAACAAAUGUGUAAGUAACUAUGCACGUCUUGACGGUACCGAAUCAGAAAGCCACGGCUAACUACGU